rnacentral:tRNA from 1 species
GGGGAUAUAGCUCAGUGGUAGAACAUGUGCUUAGCAUGUACAAAGCUCUGGGUUCAAUUCCUAACAAAGCUCUGGGUUCAAUUCCUAGCACUACCA